AAAGACCCAAAACCAGCAGUCACAGCGACCAAGGAGUGGCAGAAGAAGAACCAGCUGGUGUCGAGUUCUGGUCCAACCGGUCUCCACACAGCAACCCUGCAGAGGAAAAAGAUUCUGAUCCAGCUCGAACACGUCCAGACCUCUCUGACCUGAGAUCGGCUUCUUCCCGUCUCUCUCUCUCUGAUUCUGGAUCAGUUCUGCUGUGCGAACUUGUCACAGAAUCUGGCUUUGGACCAGCUGCGUCAACGGCAGAGUCUCCAGGCAGAAGAUGAGGAUGGAGAGGACGAUGACCAUGACGCUGAUGAUGGCGAUGAUCCUUGCUCCACCCGAAGACUCGG